AGCGAACGCUGGCGGCAGGCUUAACACAUGCAAGUCGAACGGGCAUAGCAAUAUGUCAGUGGCAGACGGGUGAGUAACGCGUGGGAACGUACCUUUUGGUUCGGAACAACACAGGGAAACUUGUGCUAAUACCGGAUAAGCCCUUACGGGGAAAGAUUUAUCGCCGAAAGAUCGGCCCGCGUCUGAUUAGCUAGUUGGUAGGGUAAUGGCCUACCAAGGCGACGAUCAGUAGCUGGUCUGAGAGGAUGAUCAGCCACAUUGGGACUGAGACACGGCCCAAACUCCUACGGGAGGCAGCAGUGGGGAAUAUUGGACAGUGGGCGAAAGCCUGAUCCAGCCAUGCCGCGUGAGUGAUGAAGGCCCUAGGGUUGUAAAGCUCUUUUGUGCGGGAAGAUAAUGACGGUACCGCAAGAAUAAGCCCCGGCUAACUUCGUG
rnacentral:rRNA from 1 species